CAGAAGACGCACACAUGCGCGCGCACACAGACACGCACACGCGGCCGUGGCGUACUCAACCCUCGUAAAGGGGCGUGUGGACUGGCAGGGACUCAAACCUACGAUCGCACGGCGGCGCACGGAGAGACGGACAGGAGCAGAAGUUUGGUCACAUCCGGACUUUUCUCUUUCUGCGUUCUUCUUUCUGUCGCUUCAGUCAGUUUUUUCUGGGACUAUCUGUUUUCGCUCACGCCAUUCGGAUUUCACUUGAGUGGCAGCGACGUGAGGCGAAAACCGGGGGAGACAUCAGCGCGGAGAAGAGCCGGAUCGCGGAGAGAAGUGGCUGCGCAGCGGCUGCGCGAUUUGUGGGGAAUUUGCGUGGACAUAACUCGGCUUCGUGUGUCAUCUCCACACAGGAGGAGAAACGAUACCGGACCUCUGCUCCACGCAUGUUGGACGUGGACAGAGGAGGGCUCGAUGCCUCAAAGUCAGGACGCAGCCAAGGAUUACCUCCAGGCCGAGCAUCCCCAUAUGACGGAGUAAGCGCGCACAGGGAGCGGGUGUUCGGCUUCUGUGGAGAGGAUAUGGCACGGCCGGCGCCGGCGAGAGGCGCGCACCCGGCACAGGAGAGAGGAAACAGGAGCUGAAUGACAGGAUGCCCGCGACCUGAGAGUGCACCUCCAACUUCGUUACAAACGGACACUUCUGCUUUAUUUUGUCGAGUUCAGACGAAGAAACAAGAACAACACUAGUUUUGGAGGAGUUUAAUUUUUUUUUGUAUGCGUAACUUUAUUUAUUUUUGGCGAUAAAACAAGGAUGCAUUGUGGAUUAGUUUUGAUCCUGUUCAUGGGAAUCCUCUCGGUGGUCAAGGCUUUCAAAAACGACAAUGUGGAGGAACGUCAGAAUCACCAACGCAAACAUACCUCACGUCGCCCGGAUACC